rnacentral:misc_RNA from 1 species
AGCAUCAGUCAAACUAGCGAUCGCUUAGGCGACAUCCUCAAUGGCUUGACACCCGCUGUAGCACAGAUUAAUUCCGCCACAGGUAGGCUCAACACGGCGGCUGGU